GGCGCUCGGCGCGCAGGUCGUUUGUCAGUCUGAGAGACGACGGGAAGCAGCAGGAGACGGAGCAGCCUCCCCUCUCCUCUCCAACGACCAAACACUCCGCUCCCGCUCUCUCCAACUCCCCUGAAACAACUCCCGACCUCCGGGACUCUCCGUCGCGUCCCUCUCCUCCUUUUUAUUUUCAGUUGCACCUAUUUUUGUUUCCUUCUUCUUCUUCUUCUUCUUCUUCUCACUUAUUCUAAACGUCAGCGGAGAUGUGAUGUAUCUAACGAGGACCCCCUGCCAGCGGUGACUUGUCUCCUUCGUGCUCCAGAGAGCCAAUCAUCAUCAUCCUCCUCCUCGCCCCCCCCCCAAAAUUCUCUGGACUUUCAUCUGCCUUUUAACGAUGUAGAAGAAGGUGCGCUUUUCCCUUUCGGCGACGACUAUGCCCAACUGCACGUCUUUUUAUUUGUGUUUCUUUUUUUUCCCGCUCGCCGCCUCUCAGACCGUUUUUUGUCCCCCGCGGUGGGAUAUAAGAGAUUUCCAUGAAGGCAAAGUUUGAGGGUACCUCUGUCGGCUCGCCCGCUCCUCACCUGUCCGCGUGCGGGCGCGCACCUUUCCCCGCGUGACAGAAAACGUUACCGCCAUUAGGACAAGUGACGCGCGAGCUAAAAGAGACCCUGACUGUCGUCCCGGUGUGGGGGGGUUGGUGGGGGUCUCGGCGGCGUCGUCGGAGGGAUUUGACGUGCGCAGCGUUGAGGGAUAUGGCUUAAAGGAUGGUUGCGCUGCUGGCAGCCGGAGGACGCUCCGUCACUUGAGUGUUUCCAUCAGAUAUUUUUUGUGUCGACUUUGGAGGAAAGCUGAAUCUCUGGAUGGGAGGCGAGCUGGAGGACUGAGUCGGACUCGGCAGCCCGAAAACAAUGUGGAUAAAACGGAGUGUUGCGCGCAGUACGUUUUGUUAUCGAGCCCGAGUCCCGCUCAAGGAGACGUCUGAAGACUCCGGCAGGGAUAUGCAGAUGAGGAGGCUACAGGCGGCCAAAGUUUCCACUCGUCUCCCGGCGACACGUAACCUUGCCCUGACACUUCCACAC
ensembl:lncRNA